GAUGAACGCUGGCGGCGUGCCUAAUACAUGCAAGUCGAACGAGAUCUUCGGAUCUAGUGGCAGACGGGUGAGGAACACGUGGGAACAUCCCUUUCAGUUCGGAAUAACGUUGGGAAACUAACGCUAAUACCGGAUACGUCCUUCGGGAGAAAGAUUUAUCGCUGAAAGAUUGGCCCGCGUCUGAUUAGCUAGUUGGUGAGGUAAUGGCUCACCAAGGCUACGAUCAGUAGCUGAUCUGAGAGGAUGAUCAGCCACAUUGGGACUGAGACACGGCCCAAACUCCUACGGGAGGCAGCAGUGGGGAAUAUUGGACAAUGGGCGCAAGCCUGAUCCAGCCAUGCCGCGUGAGUGAUGACGGCCUUCGGGUUGUAAAGCUCUUUUGUCCGGGAAGAUAAUGACUGUACCGGAAGAAUAAGCCCCGGCAAACUUCGUGCCAGCCGCCGCGGUAACAC
rnacentral:rRNA from 1 species